rnacentral:misc_RNA from 1 species
UGACAUGUGGUAUUGUCCUGGUUGUAAAGAACAUAGACAAGCCACAAAGAAGCUGGAUUUGUGGGCAUUGCCUGAGAUUCUUGUUUUUCAUUUGAAACGAUUCUCAUACAGCAGAUACCUGAAAAACAAACUUGAUACUUUUGUGGAUUUCCCAAUUCACAAUCUUGAUUUGAGCAAAUUUGUGAAGCAGAAGGAUGAAAAAUCAUAUGUGUAUGAACUAUAUGCUAUCAGCAACCAUUAUGGGGGUCUUGGUGGUGGUCACUACACAGCUUUUGCAAAGUUGAUUGAUGAUAAUAGAUGGUACAAUUUUGAUGAUAGCCGUGUUUCUCCGGUUAAUGAGGCUGAUAUCAAGACUUCAGCUGCUUAUGUGUUGUUCUACCGAAGAGUUGAAACUGAAACAAAGGUGGGAUUAGGAGAGACGUCACAGGGCCAUACAGGCUCAUGAAGGCUGUCGAUGUUUGCUGCCGGUAACAUUGAAGACUAUGCUGAUGGUUCUAGCCUUGUCAGCCAGCAUUCUGAAGAUCUCAAGCCUCCCAAAGGUGGUACAUAAGAACGUGUACAAGCAUAAAGUGGCAGCAGGUGGGCUAAGGAUCAGCUUGCUGAAAUAUUUUAUUAAUUCUUUUCUGAGAAUCUCUGGCUUUAUGUUAGGCUGCUUAUAUAUCCCUGCUUAUUUAUGCUGGGUUUAGCCGUUUUCUUGUGACCUUUUUGCAUAAUGAUAAGGUUUAAAUUUACCAUACAAAAGAUUUCUUUCAGCUUGGUUUAGGAUCAUUUAAUGUGCAAUUUACCUUUGGAGGGAUAUAGAUGAUUUUAGACGGACUGGCGC